UCUUCGGUGGGGAUUAGUGGCGAACGGGUGAGUAACACGUGGGCAAUCUGCCCUUCACUCUGGGACAAGCCCUGGAAACGGGGUCUAAUACCGGAUACCACUACCGCAGGCAUCUGUGGUGGUUGAAAGCUCCGGCGGUGAAGGAUGAGCCCGCGGCCUAUCAGCUUGUUGGUGAGGUAAUGGCUCACCAAGGCGACGACGGGUAGCCGGCCUGAGAGGGCGACCGGCCACACUGGGACUGAGACACGGCCCAGACUCCUACGGGAGGCAGCAGUGGGGAAUAUUGCACAAUGGGCGAAAGCCUGAUGCAGCGACGCCGCGUGAGGGAUGACGGCCUUCGGGUUGUAAACCUCUUUCAGCAGGGAAGAAGCGAAAGUGACGGUACCUGCAGAAGAAGCGCCGGCUAACUACGUGCCAGCAGCCGCGGUAAUACGUAGGGCGCAAGCGUUGUCCGGAAUUAUUGGGCGUAAAGAGCUCGUAGGCGGCUUGUCACGUCGGGUGUGAAAGCCCGGGGCUUAACCCCGGGUCUGCAUUCGAUACGGGCUAGCUAGAGUGUGGUAGGGGAGAUCGGAAUUCCUGGUGUAGCGGUGAAAUGCGCAGAUAUCAGGAGGAACACCGGUGGCGAAGGCGGAUCUCUGGGCCAUUACUGACGCUGAGGAGCGAAAGCGUGGGGAGCGAACAGGAUUAGAUACCCUGGUAGUCCACGCCGUAAACGGUGGGAACUAGGUGUUGGCGACAUUCCACGUCGUCGGUGCCGCAGCUAACGCAUUAAGUUCCCCGCCUGGGGAGUACGGCCGCAAGGCUAAAACUCAAAGGAAUUGACGGGGGGCCCGCACAAGCAGCGGGAGCAUGUGGGCUUAAUUUCGACGCAA
rnacentral:rRNA from 1 species